UACGUAGGGGCCUAGCGUUGUCCGGAUUUAUUGGGCGUAAAGAGCUCGUAGGCGGUUUGUCGCGUCUGCUGUGAAAACCCGAGGCUCAACCUCGGGCCUGCAGUGGGUACGGGCAGACUAGAGUGCGGUAGGGGAGAUUGGAAUUCCUGGUGUAGCGGUGGAAUGCGCAGAUAUCAGGAGGAACACCGAUGGCGAAGGCAGAUCUCUGGGACGUAACUGACGCUGAGACGCGAAAGCGUGGGGAGCAAACAGG
rnacentral:rRNA from 1 species